rnacentral:lncRNA from 1 species
UCUAACGCAUACCUAUGUAAAUAAGAACAAAAAUAUAUUUGUUUUUAUUUUUGUUUAUGUUUAGAAAACCAUUUCCCGCUUGCGCUCAUAGAAUAUCAUUGUAAAAGUUUUAAAUGACUUAUGUAAAAAAAAAUAUACAUUUAUGUAAAUAAAUAAUUCCUGGAAAUGCCAUUAAUUGUGUAUAAUAAUUUCAAGUCCAUAAACCAAAUUAGACCCGGCCUAAAUGGUUACGCUUUAUACCCAAAACAUUAACUAAACUAUAGAUGGAUGGUUGGACGAUUUGCGCGAGACAAGUUUUCGUUGACUUCAUGACCCUCACUGAAUGCUUUGUGCCACUCAAAUACUUGUGCUCGCGAUAAAGUAGACUCCCCAAAACAUUCCUACAACAUUUUCAAUGAUUCCGAGGUCGUGAUUUCAUUUGAUAUACACAAUGUCACUCCAAAAAUUGGCAACCAAUCUCUUCGCAACGUAAACAAACAGUUGUCAAACAUAUAAUAAUUGACAUAUGGAGAUCAAAUUUCACAUAAACGAGAAAAAAUGUCGUGCCAUUCUAGAAAUCAUUUAUUCGGCUUGCGAGCGCAGCUUAAAUGGACCAGUCCGAGUCAUAUUUGAUCAGAUGGUAUUGCUGAAGCCUUACUCAAUUCAUAUUUUCUACUGCCACCGGUCAAACCCUGACCAAAUUCUCUUCAAAAUAAGAAGAAGCAUAAAUUAAUGUUUGACUUAUAAGUUUUAUUUCUGCUCAAUAAAAUAAUGAAUUUCUAAUCGUUUAUAUUUACCAGAAGUAGAUUUCAUAAACAUACAUACAUAUGAAGGUGUACGUAAACCAUCACUAAAUACAUACAUACAAACACAUGAGUAUAUAUAUUGUAUACAUAUGUAUAUAGAAGUGAAUAAAUUUUGGCAUAAUCACAAAUUUAAACUUAUGUAAUUUUUAGUCACAAUAAAUCAACAUUUACAUAACAUACAUAUUUCGUGUUAAUUCACUAUUACACUUUUGGAACUACCUAUUUGCAUAUUUUGUUUCGUUUUGUUUUUGUUUUUGUGUUUUUCUUUCUUCUUUUACAUUUAUUACUUCACAUUUAAUCGCUACGUCAAGUGAAACAGUAACUUAAAAUUAAAAAAAUAAUAACUUAAAUCUUGUAAUAUUUUUAACAUUAAAAUAAAAAUA